rnacentral:rRNA from 1 species
GACGAACGCUGGCGGCGUGCUUAACACAUGCAAGUCGAACGGAAAGGCCCAGCUUUCUGGGUGCUCGCGUGGCGAACGGGUGAGUAACACGUGUGUGAUCCCCCCCUAUCUCCGGGAUAUGCUUUGGAAACUGGGUCUAAUACCCGAUAGGACAAUCCUUUAGUGUCGGUUGUGGAAAGUUUUUUCGGUUGGGGAUGAGCCCGCGGCCUAUCAGCUUGCUGGUGGGGUAAUGGCCUACCAAGGCGUCGACGGGUAGCCGGCCUGAGAGGGUGGACGGCCACAUUGGGACUGAGAUACGGCCCAGACUCCUACGGGAGGCAGCAGUGGGGAAUAUUGCACAAUGGGCGCAAGCCUGAUGCAGCGACGCCGCGUGGGGGAUGACGGCCUUCGGGUUGUAAACCUCUUUCGACAGGGACGAAGCUUUGGUGACGGUACCUGUAUAAGAAGCACCGGCUAACUACGUG